rnacentral:rRNA from 1 species
GUUAUAGGGUCAAGCGAACAAGUGCAUGUGGUGGAUGCCUUGGCGAUCACAGGCGAUGAAGGACGCGGUAGCCUGCGAAAAGCUACGGGGAGCUGGCAAACAAGCUUUGAUCCGUAGAUGUCCGAAUGGGGAAACCCACUCCUUUUGGAGUAUCCAUGGCUGAAUACAUAGGCC